CCGGCCCCGUGCACAGGCGGGGGGCGCAGUGUAAAGGGGGCAAUGGACGGUGUGGGGAGCGCAAUAUAAGAAGGUCUCUCAAGCGUCUGAAUGUGCUCAAGGCAGCAAGAUUCACUUAGAAAGUAAAACAUCCAACAAUAUGGAGUGGGGUUGUACUUCCGAGAGCCCUGAUGCAAAGAGGGAGGAGAGAUGUGAAUUGCCUAUGUUGCAGAGCAACUAUUUCCAAACAUUUUUGACCAAGAAAUGAUGAUCAACUUGCAACAUUUCUGAUGGACCACCAUGCACCCUUCUCAUCAAGCUCCUAAGUGAGCUGUAGAGAAGAGGGGAAAGAUAACUGUUGCAAAACAACAUCAGGUGGAUUGUUUGUGUAAGCUGCUGCCCGCUACCAAUCCAAGUGCUAUAUCACAUAUACAUUUGAUAAAGUUGAAAACCUUCAAGAUGAAGCUCCUUUUACUGACUUCCAAAAGUCAGAUUACAAGCUGGGGAAACUCACAGAAAUUAGUGGAUGAAGUUAGCCUACAUGAUCACAUUUCUUGGGCAAAUGACAACACUGCGGUGACAGAACCAAGGGCUGACUCCUUUCCUCAUCAUCCUUCUGCUGUUGAAAACCAGGUGAUUAAAAGACCAACCUAUUCAUCAAGCCAUAUGUCAAGUGACUAGAUUCAGGACUCAUUAAUAGGCAGCAUAAAUCUUAAUAAACAACCUCACUGAAAAUGCUAAUGUUAUUGGACCAAAGACACUAAGUUAUCAUCCGUUUCUGAAACUCGGAGAGCACUUGCUAGAUUUAACUGAUGAAAAAGAGGAAGAACAUAUUAAUACCUCUCAGCAUUUUUAUUCCAUUGUUGAUUAUAACAGCAGCAAAAGACGUCAAACCUAAAACGGCUGAACCGUUCGCACGUGCGCAUGAAUGAGCAAAUGACAACAAAGGUUUGAUGUUGUGUCCUUUUGGAAAGGUGUUAGAAAUGUAUUCAGCCUGUGACUGUGGGUAGGAAUAACGAAGGGAAAAAGAAACUGCCAUAACAUUUAACUGCAGUUGUGAAAGAGGGCGGGUUUUCGAUGGGUGUCUGUAGGGCUAGCUGUCUACUGACACAAUUCCCAGCACUUUAAUAUCUGCACACACUGUUGAAUUAUUCCUCCUUGUGCAAUGUGAGCCACGGGUGAUUUAAAUUCUGUUCCAAGUAAGACUAUAAGUUGGAUCUUGGCUGCUCCAAUGGGAAUUGAUGGGGGGCAGCUUUCUUUUCUGUUCACAAAGCUCUCAUCAAUAAAUUAAGUGACUGCGGCAUUGAUGCCUGCACAGUUGGAUGGGUAAAAAAACUGGCUGAUGGGGCGCACCCAGAGAGCAGUGGUGGACGGGUUGUACUCAACCUGGCGAGAUGUGGGCAGUGGGGUCCCCCAGGGCUCGGUCUUCAGGCCCGCACUGUUUAACAUUUUCAUCAGCGACU